UCCAAGAUUCUUUCCUACGGUGGGGGCGGCCACCCACGAGGGGAAAUUUAUGCCCCAUUGCGAAUCACACCCCUUUACGCAACCCAUUGCGCCGCGGGUGUGUAUGAAGAAAGUCCUUGAGUUGUGUUAAAAGCCCUCUUUCAGCGGAGGGAGGAAGGCAUAGUGCUUUUAUAGCACAUUUUCAUUUGAUGUUCCUCGCAGAAUGAGCCCCCGGGCUAAUUCCGUGCCCGCCAGCCCGCGGUAAAUCACGGAGGGUCGCAAGCUUAUAUUCGGAUUACUGGGGGUAAAGCGCACGCAGGGGGUUGGUUAAGUCAGAUGUGAAAUCCCCGCGCUACCGUGGAACUGCAUCUGAAACUGCCAAGCUAGAGUCGUGUGGAGGGGGGGUGGAUUUCCAGGUUAGCGGUGAAAUGCGUGGAGAUCUAGAGGAAUACCGGUGCGAAGGCGGCCCCCUGGACGAUGACUGCCGCUCAGUUGGGAAGCCGUGGGGACCAACCGGGAUUGGAUACCCUGGUAUUCCACGCUGUAACGGAUUCGAUUUGGAGGUUGUGCCCUUGAGGGUGUGGCUUCCCGAGCUAACCAUUUAAUUCGCCCCCCGGGGGAGUACGCCGCCAAGGUUAAAAUUCAAAGAAAUUGCCGGGGGCCCGCCCAAGCGGGGGAGCAUUGGUUUUAUUUGGAUGAAACGGGAAGACCCUUCCAUCCUUUUGACAUCCAGAGACCUUUCCAGAGAGGGAUGGGGCCCUUCGGGAAUUUUGAGCCCGGCGCGCAAGGGCUUUCUUCAAAAAAAUUAUGGGAAAUGUGGGGUAAAUUCCCGCAACGAGCGCACCCCUGUUCCUUUGUUCCCACCGAUUCGGUCGGGAACUCAAAGGAGACUGCCGGUGAUAAACCGGAGGAAGGUGGGGAUGACGUCAAGUCAUCAUGGCCCUUACGAGUAGGGCUACACACGUGCUACAAUGGCGUAUACAAAGGGAAGCCAACUCGCGAGAGCAAGCGGCCCUCAUAAAGUACGUCGUAGUCCGGAUUGGAGUCUGCAACUCGACUCCAUGAAGUCGGAAUCGCUAGUAAUCGUAGAUCAGAAUGUUACGGUGAAUACGUUCCCGGGCCUUUACACGGCCCCCGUCACACCAUGGGAGUGGUUCAAAUGAUGUUUUUAGUUUAACCUUCGGGAGGGCGCUUCCCACUUUGUGAUCAUGACUGGGGGAAGUUCUAACCAACAACCCCCCCC
rnacentral:rRNA from 2 species